UAUGUGAUCGUCUCUCGCAUAUCAAUAAGCGGAGGAAAAGAAACUAACAAGGAUUCCCCUAGUAACGGCGAGUGGAGCGGGAAGAGCUCAAAUUUGAAAUCUUAAAGGGUUUCCCUUUACGAAUUGUAGUUUAAAGAAGUGUUUUCUGUUGAGGUUUUGGUAAAAGUUCUUUGGAAUAGGACAUCAUAGAGGGUGAGAAUCCCGUAUUUGACCUUUACUUUCAACUUUGUGAUACACUUUCAAAGAGUCGGAUUGUUUGGGAAUGCAGUCCAAAAUGGGUGGUAAAUUUCAUCUAAAGCUAAAUAUUGGCGAGGAGACCGAUAGCGAACAAGUACCGUGAGGGAAAGAUGAAAAGAACUUUGAAAAGAGAGUUAAACAGUACGUGAAAUUGUCAAAAGGGAAGCGUUUGACACCAGUGUUGUUUUUCUGAAAAUCAAUUAAAGAACUGUUUAUGCUAAGCUGUUUAGACUUUAUCAGCUAUCUGUUUAGUUUUGAGCUUUUCUUUAAUGCACUUUUCAGUUAACAAGUCAACAUCAAUUUCUUUUGCUGUAAAAAAGCUUGAGGAAGGUGGCUUGAGAUUCGUCUUAAGUGUUUAUAGCCUCUUGCCUAUGCAGUCGGAGAGAUUGAGGUCUGCAGCGUAGAUCCUUCGGGGCUAAAUGCAUUUGUGCUAAGUUAUAGCAUUUUAUAGACAACUUGUUGACUAUGAUUUGUCUUGUAGCUUACUCGCUUAUGUUAUUUUACCUACGCUUAGGAUGUUGAUCUACAGAGCGAGAGU
rnacentral:rRNA from 1 species